rnacentral:rRNA from 1 species
GAUGAACGCUGGCGGCAUGCCUAAUACAUGCCAGUCGAGCGAACAGACGAGGAGCUUGCUCCUCUGACGUUAGCGGCGGACGGGUGAGUAACACGUGGAUAACCUACCUAUAAGACUGGGAUAACUUCGGGAAACCGGAGCUAAUACCGGAUAACAUGUUGAACCGCAUGGUUCAACAGUGAAAGACGGUCUUGCUGUCACUUAUAGAUGGAUCCGCGCCGCAUUAGCUAGUUGGUAAGGUAACGGCUUACCAAGGCAACGAUGCGUAGCCGACCUGAGAGGGUGAUCGGCCACACUGGAACUGAGACACGGUCCAGACUCCUACGGGAGGCAGCAGUAGGGAAUCUUCCGCAAUGGGCGAAAGCCUGACGGAGCAACGCCGCGUGAGUGAAGAAGGUCUUCGGAUCGUAAAACUCUGUUAUUAGGGAAGAACAAAUGUGUAAGUAACUAUGCACGUCUUGACGGUACCUAAUCAGAAAGCCACGGCUAACUACGUG